CCUUCUUAUAAGAACAAUAUAGAAAACUCAGUUUAAGAGUGCCUUGUGAAGCUGGAUUUUUGAAAUUCAGAGAGUCCAGACCAUUGUCUCCACUUUUGAAGCUACCGAUUUAAAACAGAGGAUACUGCAGACAUUUGAUCCUUUUAGAGCCGUCUCUUCUCCAGGCUGAACAGUCCCAGCUCUCUCAGCCUGUCCUUGUAGGAGAGGUGUUCCAUCCCUUGGAUAUUUUCGUGGCCCUCCUCUGGAUGCAAUCCAACAGCUCCGUGUCUCUCCUGUCCUGAGGACUCCAUAUCUGGACUCAGUAGCCCAGGUGAGGCCUCACCAGCGCAGAGCAGAGGGGCAGGAUCACUCCCUCGCCCUGCUGACCACACUGCUUUGGAUGCAGCCCAGGAUACGGUUUGCUUUCUGGUCUGCAAGAGCACAUGUCCAGCUUGCCAUCCACCAGUACUCCCAGGUCCUUUUUGGUAAGGCUGCACUCAAUCAUUUAUCCCCCAGCUUGUAUUGGUAGUGGAUGUUGCCUUGAC
ensembl:lncRNA